rnacentral:rRNA from 1 species
CCUACGGGAGGCAGCAGUGGGGAAUCUUGCGCAAUGGGCGAAAGCCUGACGCAGCCAUGCCGCGUGUAUGAUGAAGGUCUUAGGAUUGUAAAAUACUUUCACCGGUGAAGAUAAUGACUGUAGCCGGAGAAGAAGCCCCGGCUAACUUCGUGCCAGCAGCCGCGGUAAUACGAAGGGGGCUAGCGUUGCUCGGAAUUACUGGGCGUAAAGGGAGCGUAGGCGGACAUUUAAGUCAGGGGUGAAAUCCCAGAGCUCAACUCUGGAACUGCCUUUGGUACUGGGUGUCUUGAGUGUGAGAGAGGUAUGUGGAACUCCGAGUGUAGAGGUGAAAUUCGUAGAUAUUCGGAAGAACACCAGUGGCGAAGGCGACAUACUGGCUCAUUACUGACGCUGAGGCUCGAAAGCGUGGGGAGCAAGCAGGAUUAGAUACCCUGGUAGUCCACGCCGUAAACGAUGAUUGCUAGUUGUCGGGAUGUUUACAUCUCGGUGACGCAGCUAACGCAUUAAGCAANCGCCGNGGAGUACGGUCGCAGAUAAACUACAAUAGAAGUAGAGCGUGAGAGNGCGACGGACGACGACGAGGGAGGAGG